CAGACAGAAUUGUGAGGCUCAGGGGGAGAUGUAACGAUUACAAUGUCACAAAGGAAAUCAGCAGCAAAACAUGGGAAUACUAAGCUGGUAUUCUUACAGUUAUUUCCUACAGAGGUCUACUUCAUGUACCGUCUGUUACAUUUUGCAAACACAAUGCCUCCUAUCCCACCCCGUGUGAACGCUCUUCUUCACUUAAAGGAAGCAUUGGAAACCAGCAUCUUAAUCUGGACCAUUUGGUCAUCCUACUUCAGUGCCUUCGCUUUGAAGGCAGCAUGAGGGACACCUUCGGCAAAUACACCACAAGCAGGCCUUCCCAUUUCGGAAUUAAAACCAAACCUCUGCUAUUCGUGAACGUCACGUGGCUUUGUCUGGCACUGAGGCCUCUGAGGACUGUGGCGUCAAACCCAAGGCAAGAGCAUAAUAAUAAUGGAUGGUACUGGACAGUGCAUAGUAUUGCUGUGUAUUGGGCUCAUGAUUUGCUUUAUCCAGAUACUCACGUUCUGCAGUAAUGUUACAUUGUCAGUUAAUCUGCAGUUUGUAAUGGUAUGGUUAGAUUUUUCCUUGUACAAUACAACUUCACAUUGUAUUUGCUGAAUCUCAAUUUAUUGAUUUCAAACCCUUUCUUCCAAUAGCUCGAGAUCAGGUUGAAUAAAAAUCUUGCCUCCAGAAUGCUUACAUCCGCCUCUAAGUGGGAUGUCAUUUACAAAUGGUGUAAACGUGCUGUAUAUUCUGUUAUCCUAGUCAUUAAUGAAAAUUUUAAAGAGCGUACCUAGAAAAGCUCUUGGGGCACCCAGCUGGUAUGUUUUCUCUGUUUGACAGCAAGAUACUGAAAAAUACUUUCUUCAUCCAUUUGUGCACUCAUAGUAGCUUCACCUACCAAUGCUUCACUAGCUUGUUUCUGUGAAUAUUAUGUACAAUUGUGCAUGUAAUUCAUGUAAUGUAAUUCAUAUUAUAGCACAUCUGUUUCCCUUUUAUUCACAAGACCAUUUAUGGUGUCAAAAAGGAAGUUAAAUUAACAUGGCACGAUUUUACGCUUGACAAAAAUAUGUGGACUAUUUAUUAUCUUGCUAUUGGCUGGAUGAUCUAAGGUUGAUAGUUACUUGAACAACUCGGUAACCAUUUGGGGAUUUCAGGCUAGACCAAUCUAUAAUUCUCCUGGUCCUUUCUUUUUCCUUUAAGAAGAAAAAAAAAAAAGAAAGAAAUUUGUCCUUCUUAAGUCCUUUGAGAUCUUACUUGUUUUCCAUGAUCCAUGAGUUCUUUAAAGAUAAUCAUUUAAUGGUUCAGAUUGUUUCAGCUAUUUCCUUCAAUACUCCAGGGUAAAUUUCCUUACUGCUUGCUAACUAGAAUAUAUCUAACACAUCUGAACAUUUUAACCUAUUCUUUUCCUACUCUCUAUGCUCCAGUUUGUUAAUAAUUUUAAUUGUUCUAAGCAUCUGGUAGGAAUUAACCUUUUACUGUGAAGAUGCAAGCAAAGAAAACAUUGACUAUUUCAGCUUUUUCUUUGUCUUUUGUUAUUUCCUCAUCAUUCCUUGGUAGUACUGGACCUCUAUGAUCUCCAUCUUUGUGUUAUUUCUAUCAUAAUGUACAGAAACUUUUCUUAUUACCUUUAUGGCUCUUUCCAGCUGUAGCUUUCUACUUUAAUAUUGUAAUAUCUACAACCAUUUCAUAUCAUGAGUGACUUGAAUAGGUUUGCACCAAAAGGAGAGGAAUGCUUGAUUUUAGAGCCAGUGUACAGUAAGGGAAAUACUUGUGCUAUCUAAUUGCUUGACUGGUAUGCUCCAGCUCAUUAACCUGAUGCAUUAGAUUGGUUAGAGAACAUAUCAUUAGCUAUUUUCAUUUUGGUUCACUCUUUAUUAAACAGCUGCACUGAGCUGAGGUGCAGAAGGUUAGUGGUGAUCUAGAGUAAUGCUUCUUCACAUGCUGUCCAGGCACCCCUGGUCUUCUGUAAGGCAUGAAAAAGUUGUACAAAAAGA